UACGAGGACGAACGCUGGCGGCGUGCUUAACACAUGCAAGUCGAGCGAUGAAGCACCUUCGGGUGUGAAUUAGCGGCGAACGGGUGAGGAACACGUGAGAAAUCUGCCUUCAACACUGGGAUAACUCCGGGAAACCGGGGCUAAUACCGGAUAUGAAACCUGCGGGCAUCCGCGGGUUUGGAAAGUUUUUCGGUUGAAGAUGAUCUCGCGGCCUAUCAGCUUGUUGGUGAGGUAAUGGCUCACCAAGGCGACGACGGGUAGCCGGCCUGAGAGGGCGACCGGCCACACUGGGACUGAGACACGGCCCAGACUCCUACGGGAGGCAGCAGUGGGGAAUAUUGGGCAAUGGUCGGAAGACUGAUCCAGCCAUGCCGCGUGAAGGAUGAAGGCGCUCAGCGUUGUAAACUUCUUUUGUACGGGAACAAAAUGCGACCUGCGGGUUGUACUGAGGGUACCGUAAGAAUAAGCACCGGCUAACUCCGUG
rnacentral:rRNA from 1 species